CGCUGCUAUAUAGGGCGGAGGCUCCAAUCCCGCCGAGACACGUCAGACCGGCCGCCCGCCCCGCCCGCUGCGGGGUCCCUACAGCGCCCGGGAGCCGACCAACUCUUUAAGAGUUCUGCGGCCUGACAGGGGGAACAUGGUCUAAGAAUGGAGUCCUGUGAGUGCUUUGAGAAGACUCUAAGGAAAGUCUUAUGGCCACAGUUUCUUCAGAAUGCAGAAUUUUUCCUGGACUGUGUUUUGUGUUCCUCAGGGUGUAGCAGAGUGAGUUUACUUCAGAUUAUUCAUUACUGCUUGCUGAUGUUAUUGAAUUAAAUGCUUAAACUAUCCUUUACAUGACUCUCUGGUUUUGCCAUGUUCAGCUUGUCCUUGUGACUGUACACUUUAUUCAUGUGACUCUUAACCUUAUGAGUAAAAAUGUCUGAUGCUCUGAAUAGAGUUGGCUAUUGCAUGAGAGUUUAGUCUGCCUCAUUUAUGGACUCCCUUCUCCCAACUCCCACUGUUUCUAGAAUGACACUUUCUACCUAAAAAUUAGCAGAAUAAUUUAAAUUGAUCUCCACAAGACAUGCUACACUGAUUAGUGACAAGGGAUGGUUCUGCUAGUAGUUAGAUCAUUCAUACUAAGACUGGUGACCAGGUCUGUAAAUAUAUAUGGCACAGAUUAUACUUUUGUUAAUGUAAACCCCUUCUAUGACUAUGUCUAAGUAAACCUGCAACAACAUUCUAAUAAUGACUAUAUCAAAAUUGAAUUUUCUUUCACAGACGUUUAUUAUCAUACAUACAGUUCAGUAGCUUAAGAGAAAAUAGUCCAAGUCCAGGGUGGAAACAAGCAGCUCUCUUUAGUCCGUCCAUGGUUUCUUUUACAUUGUCUUUAUUUUUUUAAGUGAAUGUUCAACAUUUUUCCUAAAACCAAAAUUCUUAUUUAUUAGGUGUGUGGUGGGAUGCAUGCCACCGCUUGCAAUGGCAGCCACAGCAGUGAGCUCUCCUUCCACCAUAUCAGUUCCAGGGUCUAAAGGAGCUGGUCAUUAGAACUGGGUCCAACACCUUUACCCAUACUGAGACAUCUUGACAGCUUUUUUUGCUUAAUUAAAAAUAAUUAUGCCUGCUGGUGGCAGUGGCAGUGCAUGUCUUUAAUUUCAGUGCUGGGGAGGCAGAGGCAGGAGGACCUCUGUGAGUUUGGGGCAGCCUGCUCGACAGAGUGAACUCCAGGACAGUCAGGGCUACACAGAGAAACCCUGUCUUGAAACAAAACUAUUUUAUUGAAGGCGUGUGUCUGUAUGUGAGCUCAGGCACGCACAUGCUGCAUGAUACAUGUGGCAGUCAGGACAACUUGAGGGCGUUUGCUCUCACCUCAUCCCUUGCUGAGGGUCCAUUUUGUACCCACUUGGGCAUCUCAGCUCUAACAGCUUCUUUUCCUCCUUUAAUUCUGUCAGGUUCUCUUCAGGAAGUGACAGAAAGGGUAUCAAUUUUUCCUUCAAUGGCUGGUAUUCUGGCUUAUUUCUUAGGGGGCAUGAAUUUCUUGGUAAUGUGCAGAUAUGUAUUUAUAUUUUAGUUCAUCAUUGGCAAGUACAAACAAAAUGAGUGGACUGUACGAAAGCAUCAAAUGUGCUGCCGUAAUUCCUAAGUUUAGAAUCUUGCUCAGCUACGAUUCGGGUCACCUUGGUUAAGUUGUCAUGAACUCAACUUUUACCUGUCAUAUUUGUAAAUCUGGGUGGAUAGAAAUUGGAGAGCAUUUUCUGUAAGUUGUGAUGUCAUCUACAAGAACAAGAACUUAGCUUAGAGUAGGUAUUUUGCUGUUUAGAAUGCUAGAAUGAGCAUAUCCACUAAAUGAAUAUAUUUAGUAUUUUGUGAAACUCUAUACUAAUUUAAUAAAUAUUAAAAUAAUCAUCACAUAUGCAUACAGCUAACAAAUAUAUUUUUAAAAAGUGUAUUUUAGGUAAAUAAACUAUAUAUAUAUAUACACACACAUACAUAUAUGUAAUUUUUUUCUAGAUGGUUUCACUAAGUAGAAAAAAACAAUAAGUGAAUAGAUUUCUACAGAAAUGAAGCAGACAAUUCUUCAGACCUAACAGACCAAACCUCUAUCCCAGUGAAAAGUCAGAUAGUGUCAGGUCCUGCUAAUGGUCUGUAUUCUGGCUGCCCGGAGUUAGGGCUCCCAUCAGGGAUGAUAUAGAUUAGGGAGACUCCAUUGGGUUUACUCUCAAGUUGGUUGUUAAUGUAACCAAGUGUAAAAUGGUAUAAAUAAUAAAGCAAGAAUGAAAUGUUUCUAAACAUUGUUUAUUAUAAUGAAAUUCAGCUUUAAAAUUAUGUCAAUAAGGGAAAACUAUCUUUAUAAUCUCAAUACGAUAUUUUAUUGGCUUUUAAGUUUCUUAAGUUCUGGAUCUACUUUUUUAAAAAAAGAUUUAUUUUAUGUUUAUGAGUGCACUGUAGCUGUCUUCAAUGAGCACACCCGAAGAGGGUGUUGGAUCCCAUUACAGAUGGUUGUGAACCGCCAUGUGGUUGCUGGGAAUUGAACUCAGGACCUCUGGAAGAGCAGUCAGUGCUCGUAACUGCUGAGCCAUCUCUCCAGCCCCACUGAAUCUACUUUUUAAAAAGUCAUAGAAAAUUCUAGAAGCUAUAUACAUAAGUCUGAUUUACCUAACAAAGUAAGUGGAACCUAGCAGCAGACUUAUUUCAAGCAGGAGGACCCAGGUCUCAGCAUUCUAACCAACAUUCAGUAAAUGGCAGACAUCAAAGCCUUGACUAUAUAGUCUUGUGAGAGGAUCUCAACUACACCCAGUGCCACAGAACAGAAAAAGACCGCUAACUCUGUGUUUUAGAAAGGUUGUAUAUCUGGGUUCAGUCCCCAGCUAUUAAAAAAAAAAAAAAAAAAAGAAAGGUUGUAUAUGUAUAGUAUCUAACUGGAUGGACACUAAGUCAUAGAGAAUAGAAAAAAGAAAGAAAGGAGAGAGAAGGGGAGGGGGAGAGCAGAGGAGAGGAGAGGAUAAAGGAGAGGAGACUCAGAGGGCACAGACAAAUCCUGAGUUACAUAAAUGCCAACCAAUUGGUAAAGGAAGUGCUUCAUGGAGCAAGACAAAGCAAUUAACGUUGGGAGGGCAGCACACAAAAAGCAGUAGUAUUUAUACACUGCUCAACAAGGGGCUUACUUACAAAUGUGGUACCCUUUACUUUCAAUGGAGAACCUUCCAGUUGGGGAAGGAAAAAUGUUAGAACUGGCUACUGUGCCAGCAAGUAAGUUCAAUUCCUAGCAUCACAAAAUACCAAAACCAAGACAUGAACCUGUGCACUUUGGGAAAACAAUAUAGAGCUGCUCGGAGAACUUGGAGAGCAGUACCAGCUAAGUUCUGUCAAUUAGGAGUAACCUGGCAGUAUAUGUCUACUUAUGCCCAUCCCCUACCUCACCCCUCCAACCAACCAACCAACCAACCAACUAACCAACCAAUAAAAAUCCCACAAGAAACAGGCCUUGAAAGUGACUUUAUAAAUAAUUUUCCUGCAUUUUCACCCAUGAAGAUCACUUGACUUGCAUGGUUCCUCAGGAGCUUCUUUUCCUGCUUUUUCUUUUCUUUUUUUUUUUCCUUCUUUUUUCCUCCUCCUCCUCCUCCUCCUCCUCC